rnacentral:rRNA from 1 species
AACAAACGCUGGCGGCGUGCCUAAUACAUGCAAGUCGAACGGGGAAAGCUUUCGGGUGAGUACUAGUGGCGCACGGGUGAGUAACGCGUGGAUAAUCUGCCUUAGAGUGGGGGAUAACUAGUCGAAAGAUUAGCUAAUACCGCAUAAGACCACAAGAACUGCGGUUCAAGGGGUCAAAGGUUUUUCGCUCUAAGAUGAGUCCGCGUAAGAUUAGCUAGUUGGUAGAGUAACGGCCUACCAAGGCGACGAUCUUUAACUGGUCUGAGAGGAUGAUCAGUCACACUGGAACUGAGGCACGGUCCAGACUCCUACGGGAGGCAGCAGUAGGGAAUAUUGCACAAUGGAGGAAACUCUGAUGCAGCGACGCCGCGUGAGUGAUGAAGGCCUUCGGGUCGUAAAGCUCUGUCGCAGGGGAAUAACACAAUGAAAGUACCCUAUAAGAAAGGAUCGGCUAACUUCGUGCCAGCAGCCGCCGUAACAC